rnacentral:rRNA from 1 species
AUGGCAGAGUCGGUGGCCACCAUGGUGGUCGGGCCGCUGCUGUCCACUGUGAAGGAGAAGGCGUCCAGCUACCUCCUGGACCAGUACAAGGUGAUGGAGGGCAUGGAGGAGCAGCACAGGGUCCUCAAGUGCAAGCUGCAGGCCAUCCUGGACGUCAUCACCGACGCCGAGCAUGCCGCGUCCGACAGAGAAGGGGCCAAGGCUUGGCUUGAGGAGGUCAAGAGGGUGGCUUAUGAGGCGAAUGAGAUCUUUGAUGAGUUCAAGUACGAGGCGCUCCGCCGUGAGGCCAAGAAGAAUGGGCAUUACAGCAAGCUCGGCAUCGAUACAGUAAGAUUCUUCGUCACUCACAACCGUUUUGUGUUCCGUGACAAAAUGAAGAAGAAGCUAUGCAGAAUCUUGCAGGCCAUUGAGGUCCUUGUGGCUGAGAUGAGCGCCUUUGACUUUAAAUAUCAGCAGCAAGCACCAAUAUCCAUGCACUGGCAGCAGAUGGAUCUUGUUAUCUCUGAUCCAAAGAAAAUCAUUAGCAGAUCGAGAAGCCAAGAUACUAAGAAUAUUGUUGAUACACUAUUUUGUCAAGCUAGCAAUCCAAAUCUCACAGUUGUUCCCAUCGUUGGGAUAGGGGGGCUAGGCAAGACAACCUUAGCGCAACUCAUUUACAAUGAACCUGAAGUUCAGAAGCAUUUCGAGUUGCUGAUAUGGGUUUGUGUCUCUGACAGCUUUGAUGUGGAUUCCUUGGCUCGAAGAAUUGUUGACUUUCAUCUUAAAAAUAGUAUAAUUAAAGCACCUUUUAAGAAGGGCCCAUUGGAUAGCCUCCAAAUUGUACUAAGCGGGCGUAGAUACCUCCUUGUUUUGGAUGAUGUACGGAACCGAGAGAGCGAUAAGUGGAAAAAGCUCGAGGUCCGCCUUACACAUGGUGCUAAGGGCAGUGUGGUUUUGGCAACUACUCGUGAUGAAGGAGUCGCAAAAAUAAUGGGUACAGUUAAAGCCUAUAAUCUCUCAGCUUUGGAGGAUAACUUUAUCGAGAAAAUUAUCGAGUCAAGAGCAUUCAGUCUGCAGAAGGAAGAAGAAAGGCCGGUCAUGCUAGUUAAUAUGGUUGGUGAGAUCGCAAAGAGAUGUCGUGGCUCUCCUUUGGCUGCAGCCGCACUGGGCUCUAUGCUGCGUACAAAGACCAGCAAAGAAGAGUGGAAGGCUAUAUCGAGAAGAAGCAACAUUUGCACCGAGGAGUCUGGAAUUUUACCAAUACUGAAGCUCAGCUACAAUGACAUGUCAUCACAGAUGAAGCAAUGCUUUUCUUUCUGUGCUGUGUUUCCCAAGGAUUACGAGAUUGACGUGGACAAACUGAUCCAACUAUGGAUCGCACAUGGCUUUAUCAUGGACCAAAAAGAAGUUAGUCCUGAAACCAUUGGCAAAUGGAUUUUCAAUGAGCUGACCUCAAGGUUAUUCUUUGUGGAUGUGAAGAAAGUCCGAGUCUCACGGUAUGAAUAUGCGCGCCCGGUGGUGGGUGAUUAUCCCAAACAUACAUGUAAAAUCCAAGAUCUUAUGCAUGAUGUUGCAUUGUCUACAAUGGAAAAAGAAUGCGCUCUUGCACCUAAGGAACCACGUCAGAUUGAGUGGCUUCCAGAUACAGCUCGCCACUUAUUUCUGUCUUGUGGACAACCAGAAACUAUUUUGAAUGAAUCUGUGGCGAAAAGAUCUCUGGCUAUCCAGACACUUAUGUGUGAUUGUUAUAUAGAAAUGGGAGUUCGGUUGCAGCAUUUAUCAAAAUACAACUCUUUGAAGGCAUUACGGUUCCUUUUAAAUUGGGGCGGACAAUUCCAUUUGAAACCAAAGCAUCUGCAUCACCUAAGGUACCUUGAUCUCUCAAGAAGUUAUAUCGAAUCACUUCCUGAAGAUAUAAGCAUUUUAUACAGCCUGCAAACAUUGAACAUAUCUUGCUGCUACUCACUUCGUCGGCUUCCAAGACAAAUGAAGUAUUUGACCGCCCUCCAUCACCUAUACACUCAUUGUUGUCCGAAGUUGAGGAGCAUGCCUGGUGGUCUCCGAAAACUCAUGUCCCUGCAGACACUUACAUGUUUUAUAGCAGGUCCUACUGGCUCUAAGUGCAGUGCCAUUGGAGAGUUGCUACAUUUAAACCUUGGUGGUCAGCUAGAGCUAACUCAACUAGAGAAUGUGACAGAAGAAGAUGCAAAAGCGGCAAAUAUCGGCAAUAAGAAGGAACUGCAAGGCUUGACAUUAAAAUGGAUUGUUGGUUGUGCUGAUGAUGCUAGAGUGCUGAAGAGUCUGAAACCUCAUGAUGGACUGCUGGGUGUAAGGAUAGAAUCCUACGGAGGCACCACCUUUCCGACAUGGAUGGCUAUGUCGAGAAACAUGGUUGAGAUCCAACUUUUCCAGUGUGAAAAACUGCAAUGGCUAUUCGGUUGUGAUACCACCUUCACUUUUCCAAAUAUGAAGGAGCUUACACUACAAGAUCUGCAUUGUUUGGACAGAUGGUGGGAAACAAGUAACGAGGUACAAGGACAAGAGAUAAUGUUUCCUCGGCUUGAGAAGUUAUCUAUUGUUAGCUGUGCAAAGUUAACAGCGUUGCCGGACACAACACUGCUUGGAGAACCUCAUGGUACAAUGGCACGGUCAGCAUUUCCAGCAUUGAAGGAACUCUACUUGGAUUUCUUGGACAACUUUUGGAAAUGGGAGGCAACCGAGGGAACACAGAGAGGACACAUGGUAUUUCCUAAGCUUGAGAAACUUACAAUUAUGAAUUGUUCUAUCCUGACAGCAUUACCGGAAGCACCGGUUGAUGGAGAUUAUAGUAUGGCACGGUCAGCGUUUCCUGCAUUGAAAGUUCUGAAAUUGAAAUGCUUGAGCAGAUUCGAGAGUUGGCAUGCAGUCGAAGGAUAUAAAGGAGAAAACCUAAUGUUUCCUCAGCUUGAGCAAUUGGUUGUCAUACACUGUGAAAAUAUGACAACAUUAUGUGGACAACGGACCUUCCCUCGCCUUCAGGAGAUCCGUAUCGAGUUUUGUCCAAAGCUGACAACAAAAGCUAAAUCACCAAAGCUCAGCAUGUUACACAUGGAGGGAAAUGAGGAAGAGAUGUUCCUGUGGGUAGCUAGACAUAUGACAUCAUUGACCAAUCUGAAACUGAAGAACCUUGAAGACACGCAAUCAACCUUGGAGGCGGCUGAUCAUAGUUUGACACAAGUGGUGGACGCCAUGGAAAAAUGGAAUCGAGAUGAUUUCCCUAUGGCAAUUAUGCACUUGAGUGGCUUUAAGUCGGGUGUAACUGAGCUAUGUGCAUGUUUUGUACGGCUUGAAUGGUUGUACAUCAAUGAUUGUGCUGCGCUUGUCCACUGGCCAGAGAAAGAGUUCCAAGGCUUGGUAUCCUUGAGGAGUCUAGAGAUUUCGUACUGCAAGCAACUGGUUGGAUACGCACAAGCUCCUGCAGCUGAGCCAUCAGCAACAUUAGAAUCCUCGACUCAGCUCCUGCCAAGCCUCGAGUAUCUCAAGAUAUUUCAAUGUGAAAGCAUGGUAGAGGUCUUCAAACUCCCUGCAUCCCUGAGGAAAAUGGAAAUUCUUGAUUGUGCUAAGCUCAAGUCCAUAUUCAAUAGGAGGCUGCAACUGGAACAGGCAUCAUCAUCGAAUCUUCAAGGGCGAUCACCUGUAUAUUCAGAGUUGUCAUCGUCGUCAGCUGUAUCCAGGGCGGAGCAUUCUCUCUUUCCAUGUUUAGAAUCUAUAUACAUACGAGGGUGUCAUAGCUUAACAGGGAUCCUUGAUCUUCCCCCGUCGCUCAAGGAAAUUAAAAUUACCAUUUGUUAG